UACGGAGGGUGCGAGCGUUGUCCGGAAUCACUGGGCGUAAAGGGCGCGUAGGCGGCCUGAUAAGUAGGGGGUGAAAUCCUGCGGCUUAACCGCAGGGCUGCCUUCUAAACUGUCAGGCUCGAGCACAGUAGAGGCAGGUGGAAUUCCCGGUGUAGCGGUGAAAUGCGCAGAUAUCGGGAAGAACACCCGUGGCUAAGGCGGCUCUCUAGUACGGUACUGACGCUGAGACGCGAAAGCGUGGGGAGCGAACAGG
rnacentral:rRNA from 1 species